rnacentral:lncRNA from 1 species
CUUGGUUCCAAAAAUCCAAAUGUGGACAAUGGCAUUCCACACAGAGAGCUAUGUAUGUUUAUACAGUGAUUGUUAUAUACGACAUCCUCUGAGCCCGCUGAGGGAGAAGCGUGCCUCUCAUGGCAGUCUGGGAUAGGAAGCAUUUGUCUAAUCAGAGCAAAGAAAUCCGUGCAGCGCAAGUACUGCAGUGCAGGGAGGGCAGAGCUCCAUUACAGAAAACACUCACUGUUGUUUCCUCUCCCUCUGUGGUUCAGAAUUUGCAUGGACAUGGGAGAAUUGUACUGAUAGAGGCGCAAGCAAGGUUAAGUACAUCGGGGCUAAUUGGAAGCAGCUGAGAAGAGCAGGAGGCGUGCUCUCCACAUUUGGACACAGCUCUCCUUAGCGUGGGUGGGGAGCUGUGUCCCACGGCUGGGGCCUGAAAGCUACCCAGCGACACAUCCCUACGUGGAAGCAGAACGCCGUCCACACGAGACCCUUACGCCCAGGACUGGGGCCUACUGAACAUGACCACGAGAUCCUCUGGAUUCACGUUAAGUGAUGCAGAGUGGGGCGUGCUGUUUUUCAACUCAAGUAUCGCUGGUGGAAACACGGCUCUCACGGUUGUGCGGCUGGUGACGGGCGGUACUGAACCGAGACCAGACUCUCCAGCUCCAAAGCCAGGCUCCUUCUCCAGGCCACGCAGCAGCCAGUGUCCCCAAACCUGCUCACCCACUGUUCAGAGGGAACUGCAUUGUUACACUGGGAACAAGCCAAAUAACCUUCUAAACUAUGGUGUCUUUCACAGUCUUCUAUGGCUCCCCAAACGCAAGAUGAAAAGUUCCACAAUGUUUUCCUGAAAUGGAGACAGAGUAAGGGCCACCGUGCUCAUGAGGGGAUGGUAUUAGAGCUUGGGUUCUUGAAACAGUUUGAUAUUCUCCUAUAAAAAUGGACAGAGAUGAUACUAAGGAAAGGUUUAUUUUAAAUUAAAAAUAUGUGCAUUGUUACAAUUUUUGUAGAGUGUGGGGCUUUGAAAAAUUAGCAUCACUGUGAAAUUCAAAAGUUUUACCACGAGACUGUAGUAAUUUCACUUUCUGAACUAUACCCCAAGGAAAUAAUCCAAGAGAAAAAUAAUUUUGUAUAAAACUGAGGCACUAUUGCAAACAUAAAUAUCAAGAAACCACACAAACUGGUCCAAUAAAAAAAUGGUUGAACAAACUAGAAUACCUAAA